rnacentral:rRNA from 1 species
CCUACGGGUGGCAGCAGUAGGGAAUCUUCGGCAAUGGGCGAAAGCCUGACCCAGCAACGUCGCGUGAAUGAAGAAGGCCUUCGGGUUGUAAAAUUCUGUUAUAAGGGAAGAAAGGUGAUAGGUGGAAAUGACUAUCAAUUGACGGUACCUUAUGAGAAAGCCACGGCUAACUACGUGCCAGCAGCCGCGGUAAUACGUAGGUGGCAAGCGUUAUCCGGAAUUAUUGGGCGUAAAGAGCGCGCAGGUGGUUAAUUAAGUCUGAUGUGAAAGCCCAGGGCUUAACCGGGGAGGGGCAUUGGAAACUGGUUGGCUAGAGUGCAGUAGAGGGGAGUAGAAUUCCAUGUGUAGCGGUGAAAUGCGUAGAGAUAUGGAGGAAGACCAGUGGCGAAGGCGGCCUCCUGGUCAGAAACUGACGCUGAGGUGCGAAAGCGUGGGGAGCAAACAGGAUUAGAUACCCUAGUAGUC